UACGUAGGGGGCUAGCGUUGUCCGGAAUCAUUGGGCGUAAAGCGCGCGUAGGCGGACCUGCAAGUCGGGGGUGAAAGCCCGAGGCUCAGCCUCGGAACUGCCUUCGAUACUGCGGGUCUCGAGUCCGGGAGAGGUGAGUGGAAUUCCUAGUGUAGAGGUGAAAUUCGUAGAUAUUAGGAAGAACACCAGUGGCGAAGGCGGCUCACUGGCCCGGUACUGACGCUGAGGCGCGAAAGCGUGGGGAGCAAACAGG
rnacentral:rRNA from 1 species